rfam:Triticum aestivum genome assembly, contig: Triticum_aestivum_CS42_TGACv1_scaffold_569371_7AS
AUAGUACUCUUUCCGUUUCGAAUUACUUGUCGCAGGUAUGGAUGUAUCUAGAUGUAUUUUAGUUCUAGAUACAUCCAUUUCUGCGACGAGUAAUUUGGAACAGAGGGAGUACAUG